rnacentral:rRNA from 1 species
CCCUUAGAUGUUCUGGGCUGCACGCGCGCUACACUGAUGCGCUCAACGAGUUUAUAACCUUGUCCGGCAGGAUUGGGUAAUCUUUUUAAAACGCAUCGUGAUGGGGAUAGAUUAUUGCAAUUAUUAAUCUUCAACGAGGAAUUCCUAGUAAGCGCGAGUCAUCAGCUCGUGCUGAUUACGUCCCUGCCCUUUGUACACACCGCCCGUCGCUCCUACCGAUUGAAUGAUCCGAUGAAUAUCAUGGAUUGAGGAUGCAAGCAGGUUCGCCUGUCUUCAUCUUCGAGAAGUGAAGUAAAUCUUAUCAUUUAGAGGAAGGAGAAGUCGUAACA